GAUGAAGAACGCAGCGAAAUGCGAUAAGUAAUGUGAAUUGCAGAAUUCAGUGAAUCAUCGAAUCUUUGAACGCACAUUGCGCCCCCUGGUAUUCCGGGGGGCAUGCCUGUCCGAGCGUCAUUACAACCCCCAAGCUCAGCUUGGUGUUGGGCCCCGCCGCCCCGGCGGGCCCUAAAGUCAGUGGCGGUGCCGUCCGGCUCCGAGCGUAGUAAUUCUUCUCGCUCUGGAGGUCCGGUCGUGUGCUCGCCAGCAACCCCCAAUUUUUUUCAGGUUGACCUCGGAUCAGGUAGGGAUACCCGCUGAACUUAAGCAUAUCAAUAAGCGGAGGA
rnacentral:misc_RNA from 1 species